rnacentral:ncRNA from 10 species
GGGAUAUAGUUUAGAUGGUAGAACGUAUGUUUUGCAAGCAUAAGGUCAUCGGUUCAAGUCCGAUUAUCUCC